rnacentral:tRNA from 1 species
GGGGGAUUAGCUCAGCUGGCUAGAGCACCUGCCCUGCAAGCAGGGGGUCAUCGGUUCGAAUCCGAUAUCCUCCA